UGGGUAACGCGUAGACAACCUGCCGUAAAGAUGGGGACAACAGUCCGAAAGGACUGCUAAUACCGAAUGUUGUGGAACUUCCGCAUGGGAGCUCCACUAAAGAUGGCCUCUACUUGUAAGCUAUCGCUUUACGAUGGGUCUGCGUCUGAUUAGCUAGUUGGUGGGGUAACGGCCUACCAAGGCGACGAUCAGUAGCCGGUCUGAGAGGAUGAACGGCCACAUUGGAACUGAGACACGGUCCAGACUCCUACGGGAGGCAGCAGUGGGGAAUCUUCCGCAAUGGGCGCAAGCCUGACGGAGCAACGCCGCGUGAGUGAAGAAGGGUUUCGACUCGUAAAGCUCUGUUGUCGGGGACGAAUGUGGAGGUUGUGAAUAACAGUUUCCAAUGACGGUACCUGACGAGGAAGCCACGGCUAACUACGUGCCAGCAGCCGCGGUAAUACGUAGGUGGCGAGCGUUGUCCGGAAUUAUUGGGCGUAAAGGGAGCGCAGGCGGGAGAUCAAGUCUAUCUUAAAAGUGCGGGGCUCAACCCCGUGAGGGGAUGGAAACUGGUCUUCUUGAGUGCAGGAGAGGAAAGCGGAAUUCCUAGUGUAGCGGUGAAAUGCGUAGAUAUC
rnacentral:rRNA from 1 species